rfam:Burkholderia vietnamiensis G4 chromosome 1, complete sequence.
AGAAAAGUAACCGCCGCCCCGCGCAGGGGCGACGCUAAUAGACCGACACGAUCACAGGUAUUUCACGCCAACGCCAAGUCGCACGACAAAACCGCGCUAGCUAAUC